rnacentral:rRNA from 1 species
AUUGAACGCUGGCGGAAUGCUUUACACAUGCAAGUCGAGCGGCAGCGCGGGGCAACCUGGCGGCGAGCGGCGAACGGGUGAGUAAUGUAUCGGAACGUGUCCUUGAGUGGGGGAUAGCCCGGUGAAAACCGGAUUAAUACCGCAUACGCAGGAGACUGGAAAGCGGGGAAUCGCAAGACCUCGCGCUGGAGGAGCGGCCGAUAUCCGAUUAGCUAGAUGGUGAGGUAAAGGCUUACCAUGGCUGUGAUCGGUAGCUGGUCUGAGAGGAUGAUCAGCCACCCUGGGACUGAGACGCGGCCCAGACUCCUACGGGAGGCAGCAGUGGGGAAUUUUGGACAAUGGGCGCAAGCCUGAUCCAGCCAUUCCGCGUGCAGGAUGAAGGCCUUCGGGUUGUAAACUGCUUUUGUACGGAACGAAACGGUUCUCUCUAAUACAGGGGGCUAAUGACGGUACCGUAAGAAUAAGCACCGGCUAACUACGUGCCAGCAGCCGCCGUAAUAC